rnacentral:rRNA from 1 species
CCUACGGGGGGCAGCAGUGGGGAAUAUUGCACAAUGGGGGAAACCCUGAUGCAGCAACGCCGCGUGAGCGAUGAAGGCCUUCGGGUCGUAAAGCUUUGUCCUAAGGGAAGAAUACUGACGGUACCUUAGGAGGAAGCCCCGGCUAACUACGUGCCAGCAGCUGCGGUAAUACGUAGGGGGCUACCAUAACCCGGAAGUACUGGGCGUAAAGGGUGCGUAUGCGGCCCUUAAAAUCAGAGGUGAAAGGCUACGGCUCAACCGUAGUAAGCCUUUGAAACUGUAGGGCUUGGGUGAAGGAGAGGAGAGUUGAAUUCCCUGUGUAGCGGUGAAAUGCGUAGAUAUUGGGAGGAACACCAGUUGCGAAGGCGGCUCUCUGGACUGUAACUGACGCUGAGGCACGAAAGCGUGGGGAGCGAACAGGAUUAGAUACCCUGGUAGUC